rnacentral:rRNA from 1 species
UACGAAGGGUGCAAGCGUUAUUCGGAAUCAUUGGGCGUAAAGCGCGCGCAGGCGGAUUGACAAGUCAGGUGUGAAAUCUCGGGGCUCAACCUCGAAACUGCGCCUGAAACUGUUAGUCUAGAGUGUCGGAGGGGGUAGGGGAAUUUCACGUGUAGGGGUAAAAUCCGUAGAGAUGUGAAGGAACACCGGGGGCGAAGGCGCCUACCUGGACGACUACUGACGCUGAGGCGCGAAGCGUGGGGAGCAAACAGG